rnacentral:rRNA from 1 species
UACGUAGGCAGCAAGCGUUGUUCGGAGUUACUGGGCGUAAAGGGUGCGUAGGCGGCUAUUUAAGUUUGGUGUGAAAUCUCCCGGCUCAACCGGGAGGGUGCGCCGAAUACUGAGUGGCUAGAGUACGGGAGAGGAAAGUGGAAUUCCUGGUGUAGCGGUGAAAUGCGUAGAUAUCAAGUGGAACACCAGUGGCGAAGGCGAGUCCCUGGACAACUUCUGACGCUGAGGCACGAAAGCUAGGGGGAGCAAACAGG